ensembl:snRNA U6 U6 spliceosomal RNA
GUGCUCAUUUCAGCAGCACAUAAACUAAAAUUGGAAUGAAACAAGAUUAGCGUGGCUCUUGCACAAGGAUGGCGUGCACAUUUGUGGAGCGUUCCAUAUUUAA